UACAGAGGGGGCAAGCGUUGUUCGGAAUUACUGGGCGUAAAGGGCGCGUAGGCGGCCCGCUAAGUCGAACGUGAAAUCCCCAGGCUCAACCUGGGAACUGCGUCCGAUACUGGCAGGCUUGAAUCCGGGAGAGGGAUGUGGAAUUCCAGGUGUAGCGGUGAAAUGCGUAGAUAUCAAGAGGAACACCAGUGGCGAAGGCGAGUCCCUGGACGAUACCUGACGCUGAGGCGACGAAAGCUAGGGGAGCGAACAGG
rnacentral:rRNA from 1 species